rnacentral:rRNA from 1 species
GGGUACGUAGAUCCGUGGGCUUUGCCUGCUAUCUCUUACCCAUGUCUUUUGAGUACUUACGUUUCCUCGGCGGGUCCGCCCGCCGAUUGGACAAAAUUAAACCCUUUGCAGUUGCAAUCAGCGUCUGAAAAACAUAAUAGUUACAACUUUCAACAACGGAUCUCUUGGUUCUGGCAUCGAUGAAGAACGCAGCGAAAUGCGAUAAGUAGUGUGAAUUGCAGAAUUCAGUGAAUCAUCGAAUCUUUGAACGCACAUUGCGCCCCUUGGUAUUCCAUGGGGCAUGCCUGUUCGAGCGUCAUUUGUACCUUCAAGCUCUGCUUGGUGUUGGGUGUUUGUCUCGCCUUUGCGUGUAGACUCGCCUCAAAACAAUUGGCAGCCGGCGUAUUGAUUUCGGAGCGCAGUACAUCUCGCGCUUUGCACUCAUAACGACGACGUCCAAAAAGUACAUUUUUACACUCUUGACCUCGGAUCAGGUAGGGAUACCCGCUGAACUUAAG